AAGUGGUUUUUCUAACAAACUCAUGUAAUCAAUUGCCCGACGUACUCCAAUUUGAUUUUUUUUUACAUAGUUAGACAUAAUAUAGUACUAUGAAAUGUUUCUGACCUAAAAUAAUACGAAAUAUGAUUGUUUACAUUAAAAUGUAAAACUUGAUGAUAAAGUAUGAUAAGUUGAAAAAAGUGACAUUUGAAGGUCAGAAAGUCACUUUUCAUCAAAAGUACCAUAACAAAACUUGUUUCCAUUCAUCCUGUGUGUCCAUGCACACUUGUGCUCUUUAUCCGCUCAAAACGCUAUACAGCGAACGAGAAGGCGCUAGGAGCAAAGGAAAGUGGUUUUUCUAACAAACUCAUGUAAUCAAGUGCCCGACGUACUCCAAUUUGAUUUUUUUCACAUAGUUAGACAUAAUAUAGUACUAUGAAAUGUUUCUGACCCUAAAAUAAUACGAAAUAUGAUUGUUUACAUUAAAAUGUAAAACUUGAUGAUAACGUAUGAUAAGUUGAAAAAAGUGACAUUUGAAGGUCAGAAAUUCACUUUUCAUCAAAAGUACCAUAACAAAACUUGUUUCCAUUCAUCCUAUGUGUCCAUGCACACUUGUGCUCUUUAUCCGCUCAAAACGCUAUACAGCGCUUCGAGAAGGCGCUAGGAGCAAAGGAAAGUGGUUUUUCUAACAAACUCAUGUAAUCAAUUGCCCGACGUACUCCAAUUUGAUUUUUUUCACAUAGUUAGACAUAAUAUACUACUAUGAAAUGUUUCUGACCUAAAAUAAUACGAAAUAUGAUUGUUUACAUUAAAAUGUAAAACUUGAUGAUAAAGUAUGAUAAGUUGAAAAAAGUGACAUUUGAAGGUCAGAAAUUCACUUUUCAUCAAAAGUACCAUAACAAAACUUGUUUCCAUUCAUCCUAUGUGUCCAUGCACACUUGUGCUCUUUAUCCGCUCAAAACGCUAUACAGCGACUGAGAAGGCGCUAGGAGCAAAGGAAAGUGGUUUUUCUAACAAACUCAUGUAAUCAAGUGCCCGACGUACUCCAAUUUGAUUUUUUUCACAUAGUUAGACAUAAUAUAGUACUAUGAAAUGUUUCUGACCUAAAAUAAUACGAAAUAUGAUUGUUUACAUUAAAAUGUAAAACUUGAUGAUAAUGUAUGAUAAGGUGAAAAAAGUGACAUUUGAAGGUCAGAAAUUCACUUUUCAUCAAAAGUACCAUAACAAAACUUGUUUCCAUUCAUCCUAUGUGUCCAUGCACACUUGUGCUCUUUAUCCGCUCAAAACGCUAUACAGCGAACGAGAAGGCGCUAGGAGCAAAGGAAAGUGGUUUUUCUAACAAACUCAUGUAAUCAAGUGCCCGACGUACUCCAAUUUGAUUUUUUUCACAUAGUUAGACAUAAUAUAGUACUAUGAAAUGUUUCUGACCUAAAAUAAUACGAAAUAUGAUUGUUUACAUUAAAAUGUAAAACUUGAUGAUAACGUAUGAUAAGUUGAAAAAAGUGACAUUUGAAGGUCAGAAAUUCACUUUUCAUCAAAAGUACCAUAACAAAACUUGUUUCCAUUCAUCCUAUGUGUCCAUGCACACUUGUGCUCUUUAUCCGCUCAAAACGCUAUACAGCGAACGAGAAGGCGCUAGGAGCAAAGGAAAGUGGUUUUUCUAACAAACUCAUGUAAUCAAGUGCCCGACGUACUCCAAUUUGAUUUUUUUCACAUAGUUAGACAUAAUAUAGUACUAUGAAAUGUUUCUGACCUAAAAUAAUACGAAAUAUGAUUGUUUACAUUAAAAUGUAAAACUUGAUGAUAAAGUAUGAUAAGUUGAAAAAAGUGACAUUUGAAGUGUAGAAAGUAACUUUUCAUCAAAAGUACCAUAACAAAACUUGUUCCCAUUCAUCCUGUGUGUCCAUACACACUGGUGCUCUUUAUACGUUGAAAACGCGAUACAGCACUUUAGAAGGCGCCAGGAGCAAAGGAAAGGGGUUUUUCUAACAAACUCAUAUAAAAAUUGCCCGACAUACUCCAAUAUGGUAUUUUUCACAUAGUUAGACAUAAUAUAGUACUAUGAAAUGUUUCUGACGUGAAAUAAUACGAAAUAUGAUUGUUUACAUUAAAAUGUCAAACUUGAUGAUAAUGUAUGAUAAGGUGAAAAAAGUGACAUUUGAAGUGUAGAAAGUCACUUUUCAUCAAAUGUGCCUUAAUAAAACUU
ensembl:lncRNA